CUACGGGACGCUGCAGUUAGGAAUAUUCUACAAUGCGCGCAAGCGUGAUAGAUUGAGCCAGAGUGUUUUUCAAAUGAAAAGCUUUUGUGAAAUGUAAAAAGUUUCACGAAUAAGGACUGGGUAAGACUAGUGCCAGCCGCCGCGGUAAUACUAGCGGUCCAAGUCGCAGCCAUUUUUAUUGGGUCUAAAACAUCCGUAGCUUGCUUAAUAAGUUCCUUGUGAAAUUUUAUCUCUCAAAGAUAGAGCGUGCAAGAAAUACUGUUAAGCUAGAGACUGGAAGACGUAACGAGUACGUUCGGAGUAGCGGUAAAAUGUGUUAAUCCUGGACGGACUAACAAUAGUGAAGGCACGUUACGAGGACAGUUCUGACAGUAAGGGAUGAAGGCUAGGGGCGCAAAACGGAUUAGAUACCCUCGUAGUC
rnacentral:rRNA from 1 species